AAAUGCGAUAAGUAAUGUGAAUUGCAGAAUUCAGUGAAUCAUCGAAUCUUUGAACGCACAUUGCGCCCGCCAGUAUUCUGGCGGGCAUUCCUGUUCGAGCGUCAUUACAACCCUCAGGCCCCCGGGCCUGGCGUUGGGGAUCGGCGGAAGCCCCCUGCGGGCACAACGCCGUCCCCCAAAUACAGUGGCGGUCCCGCCGCAGCUUCCAUUGCGUAGUAGCUAACACCUCGCAACUGGAGAGCGGCGCGGCCACGCCGUAAAACACCCAACUUCUGAAUGUUGACCUCGAAUCAGGUAGGAAUACCCGCUGAACUUAAGC
rnacentral:misc_RNA from 1 species